GCUCGCUUCGGCAGCACAUACUAAAGUCGAGUGAUUCCGAGAUUAGCGUAGCUCCUGCACAAGGAUGACACACAAGUUUGUGAAUUGUUCCAUGUUUUG
ensembl:snRNA U6 U6 spliceosomal RNA